UUGCUGCUGAUCACAGUAGGGGCAUGACCCCCUACGGGCUUAUCACAAGUCAAGGGGAAAAGGGCCCACAGAAAAGAAGGGAGCCCAGAUAUGCACUGCAACAUAUUUGUAUCAAUACCAUAACUUGUGAGAUAAUAGAAGAAUCUGGAAAUCUUCGGUCGCCCUUCCAACAUUGUACACAUACCAUUUUACACCAACGUGGGUGUCGCUAACUCGUCAAGUUGUCCUUCAUUAACUAUACAAUGGCGAUCGAAACCUAACAAUCGAUCGAUAAAUUCAAUAUGUUGUAGACUCCUUCCUUGAAGACGCCGUCUAUUGAAAUCCCUCCUUCAAGUGAUGUUUUUGACCGCUAGAUGGCAGUAUCUAUUUAUUUGCUAAAUAAACGGACAACUAUCGAAAAAGAGUUGUCUAUUAAAAAGUGGGUCAAACGGCGUUCCGUAUAUAGGAGUUAUAUACCUUACUAUAUCUAUGCCUUGGUCAUUACAAUAGGUUAAAGGAUUAACCAUGUUGUUCAUCAACUCAAGCUCAAAGAAGUACAAGGUAUUUGAGAUUUCUGUUGCCCCACCUACAUUCAGUGUUACUUCAGAAACACUACAAGUAUGUUUGCUGACUACAUGUAUAUAUUGUUGAAGCAACCACUGCUGCAGGACUGUAGGAUAGCAUAAGAAAAUAAAGUUGGAUGAAAGGUUUGAUACAGAAGCUUUUGAGUGAUGGUGGAUUUGGUAGAGGUGGAUAGUGUUUUUGAACCAUUGAUAUAUAGUUUACUGUAUUGGUUGUUUGUUUGUUUGUUUGUUGUUUUCUUUCCUGGCAUCCUACUGAAUUCCAUUGAUUAAAGUUUGUGGCAAAGUGUGUUGUAUAAGAUAAAUCUAAUCCUAACAAUGUUGGAGAUCCCUUUUGUCAGGCAGGAAGCAUUGUUAUUUAUGUCGUUCAGGUAUAUUAUUCACAUCCAUGCUUUCGAUUCGUGAAAAAAGUAAGACGUGUUGGGAAUUGGAUCUUGAUAUUGCAGAUCCCUCUUUUAAUCAAGGAAAUAUUGAUAAUUUAAGUGUCCUUAAAUUAUUUUAACAAAAUGUUUAUUGCAUUUGGUUACUUUCUUGAAUUUAUUUAUUUUUUCUUAUAGAAAUACCAAGAUAUAUUGUUCUUCCACCCUUCAUACCCGUCAGGUUGCUUCAUGCUUCAUGUUGCGUUCGCGAACCAAUUUGAGCUACGAGAUGGCGCUUGCUUAACCUGUGCGAAAUGUAUUUUUUUCCGAACAAGCAUGGCUCAAGGAGCACGGUUUAACGCCGAUUUGUGGUAAGUUGAUCUCCUGUUUAAAGCCACGUGUACGUAAAAUUUCUGAUGUUGCAUUAUCUGUUAAGAUUGUGAUGGGAAAUUGGCCUAGUUUUUUUUACAGGAAAAGAUUUUUGAGUAUGUAGAAAUAAAUUUUCACCGACACUGCAGUGCAUCAAUGGCUGAAGGAAUGUUGGGUUGAAGAUUUGAUGGAUUAACUUUUGAAUGAUGGUGACAUGUGGGGCCAGAAGAAAUUGGGGGGAGAAAGGCAAUCCUAAACAAUAUAAGAGAUCUCUCUUAUCACCUGAUAAAUGUUGAUAAUUUUGGUGUAUUGUAGGAUAAUAUGAUGGAAUUGAAGGAGAAUGUGACACGAUACGUUGGUUUGGCGUCAGUAAUUUAACCAGUAUGGAAGUUACUUGUUCUUUGUUACCAAUUUACUCGUGGACUGAAAUCAGUAGCAGGCCAUGGAAUGCUGAUGAAUCAUCUGUAAGUGGAAAUUGUUAUGGAGGACAUGCUGUGGCCAUUGAGAAUACCACCUUGAAAAAAACAGAUGAUGGUGUUUGUUGGCAUUGUUUUUGUGGGAGUGUUUUCGAAGAUAGCAUGGAGUCAGAUUGUGAAAAAAAUUACUUUGAAUGAGGCAAUAAGAUUUUUUUUUUCUAUAGGGGGUUGUUAAUCAUCUUUAUGAACAGUCUAAAGCAGCAUAUGUUUUAUUCUGCAUUGGCCUAUUCAAAACAUUUGAUGAAUUGAAAAUUGAUCCCACUCAUCAUCCAUUGGUAGCUAACCAGAAUGGAAAUUGCUUUUUCUAUGUUAUCAACUAGCAGUGGGUUUAGAUUUAUCAUGGCGUACAGUUACUUCGACAUCUCUUAUAAUUCGAUGAAACAUGAUCUGUUAUGACCAAAUUUGAACGCUGGCCUAGAAUAAAAUAAUAGUUUUCCGGUUACUUAUGCAAUCUCUGAAUAGAACGGAAGCAAGAAUAUCGAUUCAGAGAUGAACAUAGUAAUCACAAAGA